rnacentral:rRNA from 1 species
UACGUAGGGACCAAGCGUUGUUCGGAUUUACUGGGCGUAAAGGGCGCGUAGGCGGCAUGACAAGUCACUUGUGAAAUCUCUGGGCUUAACCCAGAACGGCCAAGUGAUACUGUCACGCUAGAGUGCGGAAGGGGCAAUCGGAAUUCUUGGUGUAGCGGUGAAAUGCGUAGAUAUCAAGAGGAACACCUGAGGUGAAGACGGGUUGCUGGGCCGACACUGACGCUGACAGCGCGAAAGCCAGGGGGGCAAACGGG